rnacentral:lncRNA from 1 species
GGACACCACGGCCGCUGUCAGCGACAAAUCAGUGGCGUAUAGAACCCGCAGAGCCGCGUGCAAAGGCGCGCCAGGCACCGCGCGCUAGCAACGUGCACUGCGCGCGCAACGCCGCCUCACGGAGAUGCGCCCAGUGCUUCUGCCCGUUUCCUUUGAAGACAUCGCCUUUAUUCUAAAAAUCUUCUCCCUACAGCAAAUGACAUCGUUAAACGGGGCCUGGGCAGCUCUUUCUGUGCUCUCUCUGUCGAACCUUUGUAGUAGUAACUAAGCGAUCAGCUCAGCGAUCCUUCAACGACGGCGUUCAGCAGUUAGAACUGGACCACGUCCAUGCAGCUCCUCCAGCCUGCAGCUGGCAGCGUAGACGUAGUCAACAGUUUGCGCAUGCGCACGCCUCUCGGCUCCGCCCGCUAACACCGUGCAGCUAGUCCGCUCGCGGCGGCAGAAUCAGCGGAUAGCUUGUGCGCAUGCGUGCAUCCGUGGAGUCCCACCUUGCUGCUACGUCGACGUGAGGAACGCGUCCGCGGCGUGACAUGGAAGACUUUUUCAUCAGGCUAUGACGAAGAGCCGCUGAAGUACUAUAAAACAACACUUAUGAAGAAAGUGCCAAAAACAUGUAAGCAAGACACAAUUCAGCUCCAUAGAUUUUGUCUGAAGUGUUUCUACCUGUUUUUGUUGCUGAAAAUUCUCUUUCGGAGUUCAUCAAAAGAGUCAAGUAAACUUAUCUCCAGCUGUACAUCAAGCCACGCACAGCACACUUAAAUGUAAGCUUAUUGUGGGCCUUUCAUUUGCAAUUCUGGCCUUUCUGACUUUGUGGAUUAGUUUGUAAAUACUGACCUUGUAUCAGUGUAACCGCCUGGGAUACAAUGGGUCUUGUUGUGGUAAAAGGCUUCACUGGACAGACCAAAUCCUGGCAGUUGAAAACAUUGUCAUUGUGUCCAAGGUACAAUGGUGACUGGGCUUUCACUACAGUGUGAACGUAUUCUUUUUGGUCUCUUUUACAAUACUGCCUGAAUUGUGAAAACUCACUGGAUAGCUGAGAUAGCAUCUUCUGCUUUUAAAAUAUAUAUAUAUAUUUUAUUUUCCAGUAGGGCAGUCAUAAAGGAUCUUUUCAACUAAAAUUGAAAUAGAAUUAGGGAAACAUGCCACCUAUACAGAGAAUAAAAUGAUGCACAGUGCAUCA